rnacentral:tRNA from 1 species
UCCUCGGUGGCGCAAUUGGCUAGCGCGUCUGACUGUUAAUCAGGAGGUUGAAAGCUCGAGCCUUUCCCGUGGAG